rnacentral:rRNA from 1 species
AGUGAACGCUGGCGGUAGGCCUAACACAUGCAAGUCGAACGGCAGCACAGUAAGAGCUUGCUCUUACGGGUGGCGAGUGGCGGACGGGUGAGGAAUACAUCGGAAUCUACUUUUUCGUGGGGGAUAACGUAGGGAAACUUACGCUAAUACCGCAUACGACCUACGGGUGAAAGCAGGGGAUCUUCGGACCUUGCGCGAUUGAAUGAGCCGAUGUCGGAUUAGCUAGUUGGCGGGGUAAAGGCCCACCAAGGCGACGAUCCGGAGCUGGUCUGAGAGGAUGAUCAGCCACACUGGAAAUGAGACACGGUCCAGACUCCUACGGGAGGCAGCAGUGGGGAAUAUUGGACAAUGGGCGCAAGCCUGAUCCAGCCAUACCGCGUGGGUGAAGAAGGCCUUCGGGUUGUAAAGCCCUUUUGUUGGGAAAGAAAAGCAGCAGGUUAAUACCCCGCUGUUCUGACGGUACCCAAAGAAUAAGCACCGGCUAACUUCGUG